rnacentral:rRNA from 1 species
UGAAGUUAUAAAUAGUCUGGCCUGCUCACUGACGAUAAUACACGUUUAAGAGCCGCAGUAUUUUGACUGUGCAAAGGUAGCAUAAUCAUUAGUUUUUUAAUUGGAAACUUGUAUGAAGGGUUGGACAAAAGAAAAGCUGUCUUUAUUAUAAAAAUUGAAUUUAACUUUUAAGUGAAAAGGCUUAAAUAAUUUAGGGGGACGAUAAGACCCUAUAAAGCUUUAUAUAUUAUUUAAAUUUUAUUAAAUUAUAAAAUAUAAAAAUAUAGUUUAGUUACUAUAUUUUAUUGGGGCGAUAAAGGUAUAAUUAAUAUUAACUGUUUAGUUUAUAUAUACUGUAAUAAUUGAUUUAAAUUUAUAAGAUCCUUUUUAGAGAUUUAAAGACUAAGUUACUUUAGGGAUAACAGCGUUAUUUCUUUUGAGAGUUCAUAUCGAAAGAGAAGAUUGCGACCUCGAUGUUGAAUUAAAAUGUCUAUAUAGUGCAGUCGUUAUAUAAGAAGGUCUGUUCGACCUUUAAAUU